GUAAAGGCUGUGAAUGUGUCAGUAGGGUAUCUGAUCAUUGCCAGAGAGAAGGGGCCGGAGGCUGGAAGCUCCUUUCUAUUCGACAGAUAUACUGAAUUUCCCGCAGGAGCCGCAUUUCCGAACAAGUAGUAAGAAAUGACGUCAACGUGCACGUUACGCAUAGGAAGAGAGCCUGUCUUUUUACGCAGGAAUCAGGGUGGUACCGCGGAUUGAUUCUCCGUCCCUUUU
rnacentral:ncRNA from 1 species